CUCUCUCUCUCUCUCUCUCUCUCUCUCAAGAAGAGGGACCGCUGAUCUGGAUUGAAUAAGGGCUCACCUUUUCCGAUGACAUUUUCAAGAGUUCUUUCAUUUCAUAUAUACGCGCACGAUCACCCUCUGUGUUUCGAUUUUAUUGUCCAGAAUCCAUACCUUAAUUUGCUGGUAGAUCGAUUGGAAGUUCUAGCAGCUGAUUGGAGCAGUAUCGAUCUGGGAGUCGAAACGCUCUCGAUGGAUCUGUAGGCCAAUAUCGAAGCAGUCAGAUCGGGGAGUCUGAAUUUAUCAAAAUCCCCCCUACCGAUCUCUAGACCUAAGCGGUCAGAUCGGUGAGUCCAAACUAAUCAAAAACCCUCUCGAUCGCUGAAGCAGUCACUGAAGAGAGUCUAAACUCAACAAGGCUAGUCUUAUCUUCAGGUGAAGUCAGUGUUGGAGAAAUCCAAUUCAGAAAUUUGUUUCCCAGAAAGCAAGCAUUGAUAGUCAUUCACUUCAAAAUCGCCCCCUUGAUCGAUGCAAUCACUCUUCAGAAUAGUGCAGAAACAAGAUCUCUAUAAUAACAGGGGAAGCUUGUGUGGCGGCCUCGGUCCCACAUCUGGAGUGCCAAUGUAACCCUCUAUUACAAUCGUGGUCAUUGACUGAACUGAAGGACGAUUAUGCCCCUAAAGGUUUGGACGCCCUAGGUGAGAUACAAGUUUCACUACCCUUCACUUGUUGAGAACUCAAGUCCCAAAAGACAAUAGGCAACAAAGAGCACUUGAAUCUCGAUUGAGUCACAUGUUUCACGAGGCUGUGCAUAAAAUUUUUUUCAUGUGGUUUGUGGUAAUAGAGGCAAGGUUUUUGUUCUUUCUUUAAUUUGCUCAUCCCCGGGCAGGUAAAUUGAAAUCCCCACCUUGUUGGGUUCUCACUCCGUUCACCACCAAACAUCUCCCACUCAUGAGUAAUCUCCUCGUAAAUCGUCAUUUUUUUUUUCAAUGUUUACUACCUUGGCAAUUGCUUCCCAAAAGGUAUUGGUUUCUACAUAACUCAUCCCCCUAUGAACUUGAAGGUGUAAUCUCUGAAUAAAACGCUCUAUCUUGUUCGCUUGGAUCAACAUAUAUGUUGAGAUAUACUUUAAUGUCUUGAACUCAUCCUCGUAUUGCAACAUUGCCAAGUGAGAAAGUUGUCACAAUUCCAUGAAUCUUUAUUUCUUGCAGAGCUGUCAAUCAUAGGGAUAAUACUUCUCAUAAAAGCCCCCUUAAACUAACUCCAGCCAAUAGGGGGUGGUUGUUCUCCAAGCCCCGCUAGCUAAUCAUUUUUCUCCUUCAAAGUCUCAACUGUUGACCUCCACCAAAGUCUGGGCUAUUCAGUUAACACAAAAGUAGCACACCUUACCCACUGAUCCCGAUCUAAACAAUCCAUGUACUCCAAAAAUUAAUGGAUAUCGUCCAACUAGAAUUAGGUUACACUUGGAUCAGCCUCAAGCUAUUCUUUGAAUGUCGAUGGUCGUAGGUCCAUGAAAGCCUUAAUCUAGUUAGCCGCUUCAGUAUUCGCCUGUCAUACAUGAAUUGUCUCGUCAUUCGCCUAUAAAAAACAAAUGGUGUGCAGAUGGCACCACAUACCCAAUGGAAUACUCGAACAUCACUUGUCCCUAGUGUUGAGAAUAUUGAUCUUGAUUAGGGGCAUGCAGCAGAAACAUCUAGGCACUCCCAAGUACGUGUAAAGUCGCCAGGCGAAUGAUGAGACAAUUCACGUACGAAUGGCGUAUACUGAAGUAGCCAACUAGCUGUAAGGCUUUCAUGGACCUACGACCUCUGACAUUUAAAGGACAACUUAAGAUUGAUCUAAGUGUAGUUGAAUUUUAGUUAAAUGAUAUCCAUCAGUUAUUAGAUUACAUGGAUUGCCUAGAGGAUUAGUGGAUGAGGUGUUUUACUUUUGUGUUGACUGAAUAGGCCGAACUUUGAUGAAGGACAAUGGCCAAGACUUUGAGGGAGCAAAAUGCUUAGCAAACGGGGUUUGGAAAACAACCACCCCCAAUUGGUUAGAGUUAGUUUAAGGGGGCUUUAAAUGAUAAGUAUUAUCCCUAUGAUUGGCAGCUUUACCAAGAAGUAGGAAUUUAUGGAAUUGUGGUAACUUUCUCACUUGACAACGUAACAAUACAAGGAUGAGUUUGUGAAAUUAUUAAAGUAUAUCCUAACAUAUAUGUUGAUCGAGAGGCAAACAAGAUGAAACGUUUUAUUUAGGGAUUACGCCUCGAGAUUCAUAAGGGGAUGAGUUAUGUGUGGAAGCCAGUACCUUUUGAGAAGCGAUUGCCAAUGUGGUAAACAUUGAAAAGAAAUUGAUGAACUAUGGAGAGAUUACUUGUGAGUGGGAGAUGUCUGGUGGUGAACAGAGUAAAAUCCCAGUGGAGAUUUUAAUUUACCCUUUCGGGGAUGGGCAAAUUCAAGAAAAAAGAAAAACUUUGCUCAUAUUGCCACAAACCACAUGGACGUAAUGUUUUAUGUAAGGUGGCAAAGUCGGCGAAGGGAUGCCAUUACUGUGGAGAGGUUAGGCACUUUUGUCAAAGAUUGCCCGAAGCAAAAGGAGCAACUUGCUACUGAGCCAACUCCAUUAGUCGUUGGUGCCUAGAGGAAACUGGUAAUGUGUUUCACCCGCAACAAGCCGGGGCACAUUUUCACUCAAUGCCCAUAACAUGGAAGAGUUGGACCUAUAAAGUCAAUAGAGAGAAAGACAUCGGUGGCCAUAGGACGAGUGUUUAAUUUGACAAAGACUGACACUACGAUAGAUUCAAUGGUGAUUGCAGGUACACUUCUUGUUCAGGACAUACUUAUGCAUGCAUUAAUAAAUUCAGGAGGUACAAACUCAUUUAUAUCAUGUACCACAAUAAAUUCUAUAAUGGGAAUUAUGUUUGUUACCGAUCUGAGUUAUGUUAGAAUGUUAGGUCACAAUAAGGGAAACUAUGUUCUCAAUAGAUUUGAAGAAGAGAAUGAUUGCAACACAAUUGUUGGCGAUGAAGAACUUGUUGAAGAAGAUGAUCGGGAAAGGCAACAUGGGCAUGUGGAACCACCCUUUAGAAAGAAGCAAGCACGUGGCCUUGUUUGUGAGUUGAGUGUGUGAUCCUCACGUAUUGGGAAGAAAAUAAAAGAAAAAAAUAGAGAAAAAUUCUAAAAAAUAUAUAAUAAAUUAAAAACUAUUUUGAAGCAAGGGCAUGUGUGGGGAAAAUUUGAGGUUUGAGAAGCAUUCUGGACACAUUAUCUGAUGCCGGCACUCAAAUUAAAAAACUAAGUUUUGGCCACCGGUUAAAGAUUUGAGUGACUGAUUCUUCCUAAAACUUAGUUUAUUUUAUGUGCAUUGUUAACAAUGGUAAUUAUUAUUGAUUAUGAUGUAUCAAAAUAUACAUUAUUUGUAUUAUGCAUGUGACUAUUGGUUUAAUUGCAUUAUGUGUUAU